rnacentral:lncRNA from 1 species
CCAGCCGGCAGCAGCCCCAAGGGAGGCAAGCUGCAAGAGAGAGGGAGCCGCCUCCAUGCCGCCCAAGCGCCGAAGAACUGCCACGCGCAUGGCCAGACAGCCGCCACCGCCCGCAACCAGAGCACGCAGGCUGCCUCCGCCCGCACGCGCGCCCCCGUGCAGACCUCUGCCGCCACCAGGAUGCGCCGCCCUGACGAGGUCCGGCCGCCGCCAGGGAGCGCCACGGAAACAAGUGACGCCUCGCCGGCCGAGCAGGGCCCCGCCACCGCCACACGGGCUUUGCCUGGUGGCGCGCUCAGGCGGCGGCGAGGGAGGGGAUGACGGCGCUAGGGUUUCAAGGAGGGUCAGGCUGAGAGAGUCUCCCCCGGCGCUUUUGUGUGAUUCAUGGAAGGCAACAAGGAAACUUAGUUCGUAAAA